UACGGAGGGUGCAAACGUUGCUCGGAAUCAUUGGGCGUAAAGCGCACGUAGGCGGUUCUGCAAGUCGGGUGUGAAAUCCCUCGGCUUAACCAAGGAAGUGCAUUCGAAACUGCAGGACUUGAGUACUGGAGAGGAUCGCGGAAUUCUCGGUGUAGAGGUGAAAUUCGUAGAUAUCGGGAGGAACACCAGUGGCGAAGGCGGCGAUCUGGACAGAUAUUGACGCUGAGGUGCGAAAGCGUGGGGAGCAAACAGG
rnacentral:rRNA from 1 species